rnacentral:rRNA from 1 species
GGGGAAUCUUCCGCAAUGGGCGAAAGCCUGACGGAGCAAGACCGCGUGAGGGAGGAAGGCUCUUGGGUUGUAAACCUCUUUUGUCAGGGAAGAACACAAUGACGGUACCUGAAGAAUCAGCAUCGGCUAACUCCGUGCCAGCAGCCGCGGUAAUACGGGGGAUGCAAGCGUUAUCCGGAAUUAUUGGGCGUAAAGCGUCCGCAGGUGGCUAAUCAAGUCUGCUGUCAAAGGUUGGGGCUUAACCCCAAAAAGGCAGUGGAAACUGAGGAGCUAGAGUGCAGUAGGGGUAGAGGGAAUUCCCGGUGUAGCGGUGAAAUGCGUAGAGAUCGGGAAGAACAUCGGUGGCGAAAGCGCUCUACUGGACUGCAACUGACACUCAGGGACGAAAGCUAGGGGAGCGAAUGGGAUUAGAUACCCCUG